rnacentral:rRNA from 1 species
UGAGGAAUAUUGGUCAAUGGACGAAAGUCUGAACCAGCCAUGCCGCGUGCAGGAUGAAUGCCCUACGGGUUGUAAACUGCUUUUCUACAAGAAGAAACCCCUUAACGUGUUGAGGGCUGACGGUAUUGUAGGAAUAAGCAUCGGCUAACUCCGUGCCAGCAGCCGCGGUAAUACGGAGGAUGCAAGCGUUAUCCGGAUUCAUUGGGUUUAAAGGGUGCGUAGGCGGGACAGUAAGUCAGUGGUGAAAGCCUGCGGCUUAACCGUAGAAUUGCCAUUGAUACUGUUGUUCUUGAGUGUAGUUGAGGUAGGCGGAAUGUGUAAUGUAGCGGUGAAAUGCUUAGAUAUUACACAGAACACCGAUUGCGUAGGCAGCUUACUAAACUAUUACUGACGCUGAGGCACGAAAGCGUGGGGAGCGAACA